UGAGGAAUAUUGGUCAAUGGGCGAGAGCCUGAACCAGCCACGUCGCAUGAAGGAAGACUGACCUUACGGUUUGUAAACUUCUUUUGUAGAGGGGUAAUGGCAGAUACGUGUAUUUGCGUGAAAGUACUCUACGAAUAAGCAUCGGCUAACUCCGUGCCAGCAGCCGCGGUAAUACGGGGGAUGCGAGCGUUAUCCGGAAUUAUUGGGUUUAAAGGGUGCGCAGGUGGCUAAUCAGGUCAGUGGUGAAAAGCUAUGGCUCAACCAUGGUCUUGCCAUUGAAACCGUAUAGGUAGAGAGGAGACGAGGUAGGCGGAAUGUGUGGUGUAGCGGUGAAAUGCAUAGAUAUCACACAGAACUCCGAUUGCGAAGGCAGCUUACCAGGCUUUAUCUGACACUUAGGCACGACAGCGUGGGGAUCAAACAGG
rnacentral:rRNA from 1 species